rnacentral:rRNA from 1 species
CACAAGCGGUGGAGUAUGUGGUUUAAUUCGAUGCAACGCGAAGAACCUUACCUGGUCUUGACAUCCCGGAGACCCUUAGGAAACUAGGGGGUGGCUUCCAUCUGGAAGAAUCUGGAGACAGGUGCUGCAUGGCUGUCGUCAGCUCGUGUCGUGAGAUGUUGGGUUAAGUCCCGCAACGAGCGCAACCCUUGCCUUUAGUUGCCAGCAGUUCGGCUGGGCACUCUAAAGGGACUGCCGGUGUUAAACCGGAGGAAGGUGGGGGAUGACGUCAAGUCCUCAUGGCCUUUAUGACCAGGGCUACACACGUACUACAAUGGCCGAUACAAAGGGCAGCGACACUGCGAGGUGAAGCCAAUCCCGUAAAAUCGGUCUCAGUCCGGAUUGGAGUCUGCAACUCGACUCCAUGAAGUUGGAAUCGCUAGUAAUCGUGGAUCAGCAUGCCACGGUGAAUACGUUCCCGGGCCUU